AAGUAUAUAUGUUAAGUUAAACAAAUGUCCUUCAAAGACAAAAAUAGUCAUAAUUAGGCUUAUACUUG
rnacentral:tRNA from 1 species